GAUGAACGCUGGCGGCGUGCCUAAUACAUGCAAGUCGAGCGAAUGGAUUAAGAGCUUGCUCUUAUGAAGUUAGCGGCGGACGGGUGAGUAACACGUGGGUAACCUGCCCAUAAGACUGGGAUAACUCCGGGAAACCGGGGCUAAUACCGGAUAACAUUUUGAACCGCAUGGUUCGAAAUUGAAAGGCGGCUUCGGCUGUCAAUUAUGGAUGGACCCGCGUCGCAUUAGCUAGGUGGUGAGGUAACGGCGCACCAAGGCAACGAUGCGUAGCCGACCUGAGAGGGUGAUCGGCCACACUGGGACUGAGACACGGCCCAGACUCCUACGGGAGGCAGCAGUAGGGAAUCUUCCGCAAUGGACGAAGGUCUGACGGAGCAACGCCGCGUGAGUGAUGAAGGCUUUCGGGUCGUAAAACUCUGUUGUUAGGGAAGAGCAAGUGCUAGCUGAAUAAGCUGGUACCUUGACGGUACCUAACCAGAAAGCCACGGCUAACUACGUGCCAGCCGCCGCCGUAA
rnacentral:rRNA from 1 species